GCUGGCGAUGGGGGAAUGGCAGCAGGAAGGGGCUGGGGGUGGCCGCCCCAGCUCGGCACCCCUUGGAGAGCAGGCAAGGAGGAAGGAACACUUUGACAAGCACGGAACACAGACCGAGACGAGGGAAACGGUGCCUGGGCAGGGAGGUGACUUGAACCAAGCUGACGGAGGGAGCUGGCCGUGAUCACAGUGUGGACCAGCCUAACUCCUGUGCUGGCAUGGUUUUGGGUGGAUCACAGUGCCACGCUGUCUAGAUCCCCCUUUCCAGGCACUGCUCAUCUGUCAGUCUGUGAACUCUGUCACCCAGAGGUUCCUUCUCUUACUGGGAAGUCCAUUGGAGGGACCAUGGACCUCGGCUCACUACUGAUGGGUACUGUUCCCAGAAGCACCGUGUCCUCUCCAGUCAGUGCGGCAUGACUGGGGGAAGGGCAGACCAUAGGUGCCCAGGCUCCUGGAAGCACGAGGCCUGCCCCUUGACUGAGCGACCUCCCUUGUUCUCCAAAGACCACAGGAGCCGUACUCACACUUCGUAUCUGUUACUGGACAGGAAUCUUUCUGAGUAUCAUGACUUACACUCAGAAAGAUUCUAUAGCCAGUUACUAGAGCCAGUCAGUCAGAAGAAUCUUUCUGAGUGUAAGUGGCUUAUGCAUUUGUUGAGAAGCCCAGGGAUUUCAGCUUCAGGAAUGGCUGAAUCCAGCGGCUCAAAUGAUAUCAUCAGAACUCAAUCUCACUUUCUUCAUUUCUCAUUUCUGUCUUCCUCUGAGAAGGCUCUAAUGUCUGGAUGGGCUCUGAUUGAUUUGAUUGGGAUCACAUGCCCAUUUCCAAAUAAACCACAAUAGCCAGGGGGCUAAGAAACACGGAUUGAUAACCCCUGGUCUGGGGAACAUCCUUUGCAUCUCUGGAACCUCAUGGACUGAGAGAGGCUUGCACUGGGAGGGGCGCCAAUGCACAAGAAACAGUGCACAGUGAUGCCCCGUCUAUUAGCAGGGGCACACGUGCCAGGGUCUUCCACGCUGGAGAAGUUGGAGAGCAUUCUGCAUCCAGGGCAGAGAUGGGCAUGGUUGCCCGAAGAGGCUGGUUAGGCAGAACUGAGGUCUGGCCAGGUGCGAUAUUGUGAUUUUUAAUAAGAAAUAUAUAUUCGGUCUUUGUCCCAUUCCUGGUCCAGAGCCCCUAAAGCCCUUGGAAUUUCCUGUGGAGAGAGCAUAAAGGUGUCUUUUGUUAUGUUAAUAAGGUGGUUUUGGGAAAUUACCUAAGGAUGGAGGCUGGUUGUCAGAGGAGCCAACCACACAAACAGAGGUGAAAACUUUCAGUCCCACCUCCAAGGAGGGGAAAGGGGCUGGAGGUUGAACCCACCACCAAUAGCUAAUGAUUUCACCAGUCAUGCUGGUGCAAUGAACCCUCCAGAAAACCCCAAAAGGAUGGGGUUCCAGGAGCUUCCGGGUUGGUGAACACGUGCAGAUUUGGGGAGAGUGGUGCUCGGAAACGUGGAGGAGCUCCACGCCCUUCCCCCACACCUCGCCCUGGGCAUCUCUUCCAUCUGGCUGUUCCUGUUAUAUCUUUUUAUAAUAAACCUGUAAUCUAGU